rnacentral:piRNA from 1 species
UUUAAGUAUCCAAUUAAAAGA